rnacentral:misc_RNA from 1 species
GAAAUGCGAUAAGUAAUGUGAAUUGCAGAAUUCAGUGAAUCAUCGAAUCUUUGAACGCACAUUGCGCCCAUUAGUAUUCUAGUGGGCAUGCCUGUUCGAGCGUCAUUUCAACCCUCAAGCCUUAGUUGCUUGGUGUUGGGAGCUUAUCCUGCCGAAAGGCGGGACAACUUCUUAAAAUCAUUGGCGGAGUCGCGGUGACCCCAAGCGCAGUAAUUCCUUUUCUCGCUUCAGGUGUCAACGCUGGCUUCUGGCCGUUAAAACCCCCUAUUUUUUAAAUGGUUGACCUCGGAUCAGGUAGGACUACCCGCUGAACUUAA